AGAGUUUGAUCAUGGCUCAGGAUGAACGCUGGCGGUCUGCUUAACACAUGCAAGUCGAACGGGCGCUUCGGCGCUAGUGGCGGACGGGUGAGUAACGCGUGAGAAUCUGCCCUUAGGAUGGGGACAACAGUUGGAAACGACUGCUAAUACCCAAUGAGCCGAGAGGUAAAAGGAUUAAUUGCCUAGGGAUGAGCUCGCGUCAGAUUAGCUAGUUGGUGGGGUAAGAGCCUACCAAGGCGACGAUCUGUAGCUGGUCUGAGAGGAUGAUCAGCCACACUGGAACUGAGACACGGUCCAGACUCCUACGGGAGGCAGCAGUGGGGAAUUUUCCGCAAUGGGCGCAAGCCUGACGGAGCAAGACCGCGUGCGGGAUGAAGGUCUGUGGAUUGUAAACCGCUUUUGUCAGGGAAGAAUGAUGACGGUACCUGACGAAUCAGCCUCGGCUAGCUCCGUGCCAGCAGCCGCGGUAAUAC
rnacentral:rRNA from 1 species